AACGUACGCUGGCGGCACGCCUAACACAUGCAAGUCGAACGAAGUAGCAAUACUUAGUGGCAGACGGGUGAGUAACAUGUAGGUAUCUGCCCUUUGGCCUGGAAUAACACGAGGAAACUUGUGCUAAUACCGGAUAAGUCUUUACGGAGAAAGCUUUAUGCACCAUUGGAUGAGCCUGCACUUGAUUAGUUUGUUGGUGGGGUAAUGGCCUACCAAGACUGUGAUCAAUAGCUGAUUUGAGAGGAUGAUCAGCCACAUUGGGACUGAGACACGGCCCAAACUCCUACGGGAGGCAGCAGUGGGGAAUCUUGCACAAUGGAGGAAACUCUGAUGCAGCGAUGCCGCGUGAGUGAAGAAGGCCCUUGGGUUGUAAAGCUCUUUCGUCGGGGAAGAAAAUGACUGUACCCGAAUAAGAAGGUCCGGCUAACUUCGUGCCAGCAGCCGCGGUAAUACGAAGGGACCUAGCGUAGUUCGGAAUUACUGGGCUUAAAGAGUUCGUAGGUGGUUGAAAAAGUUAGUGGUGAAAUCCCAGAGCUUAACUCUGGAACUGCCAUUAAAACUUUUCAGCUAGAGUAUGAUAGAGGAAAGCAGAAUUUCUAGUGUAGAGGUGAAAUUCGUAGAUAUUAGAAAGAAUACCGAUUGCGAAGGCAGCUUUCUGGAUCAUUACUGACACUGAGGAACGAAAGCAUGGGUAGCGAAGAGGAUUAGAUACCCUCGUAGUCCAUGCCGUAAACGAUGUGUGUUAGACGUUGGAAAUUUAUUUUCAGUGUCGCAGGGAAACCGAUAAACACACCGCCUGGGGAGUACGACCGCAAGGUUAAAACUCAAAUGAAUUGACGGGGACCCGCACAAGUAGUGGAGCAUGUGGUUUAAUUCGAAGAUACGCGCAGAACCUUACCAACACUUGACAUGUUCGUCGCGACUCUAAGAGAUUAGAGUUUUCGGUUCGGCCGGACGAAACACAGGUGCUGCAUGGCUGUCGUCAGCUCGUGUCGUGAGAUGUUGGGUUAAGUCCCGCAACGAGCGCAACCCUCACUUUUAGUUGCCAUCAUUAAGUUGGGCACUCUGAAAGAACUGCCAGUGAUAAGCUGGAGGAAGGUGGGGAUGACGUCAAGUCCUCAUGGCCCUUACGUGUUGGGCUACACACGUGCUACAAUGGUAUCUACAACAGGAAGCAAGACUGCGAAGUUAAGCAAAUCCCUAAAAGAUACCUCAGUUCGGAUUGCACUCUGCAACUCGAGUGCAUGAAGCUGGAAUUACUAGUAAUCGUGGAUCAGCGUGCCACGGUGAAUGCGUUCCCGGGUCU
rnacentral:rRNA from 1 species